rnacentral:rRNA from 1 species
UACGUAGGGUGCGAGCGUUGUCCGGAAUUAUUGGGUGUAAAGAGCUCGUAGGCGGUCUGUCGCGUCGGAUGUGAAAGCCCGGGGCUUAACCCCGGGUCUGCAUUCGAUACGGGCAGGCUAGAGUGUGGUAGGGGAGAUCGGAAUUCCUGGUGUAGCGGUGAAAUGCGCAGAUAUCAGGAGGAACACCGGUGGCGAAGGCGGAUCUCUGGGCCAUUACUGACGCUGAGGAGCGAAAGCGUGGGGAGCGAACAGG